rnacentral:rRNA from 1 species
CCUACGGGUGGCAGCAGUGGGGAAUAUUGGACAAUGGGGGAAAGCCUGAUCCAGCGACGCCGCGUGAGGGAAGAAGGAAUUCGGUACGUAAAGCUCUAUUAGCAGGGAAGAAAAUGACGGUACAUGAGUACGAAGCGCCGGCUCACUACGUGCCGGAAGCCGCGGUAAUACGUAGGGGGCAAGCGUUAUCCGGAGUUUCUGGGUGUAAAGGGAGCGUAGACGGUGCGCCAAGUCUGGAGUGAAAUGCCGCGGCUUAACUGCGGAACUGCCUUGGAAACUGGCGAACUCGAGUGCGGGAGAGGUAAGCGGAAUUCCUAGUGUAGCGGUGAAAUGCGUAGAUAUUAGGAAGAACACCGGUGGCGAAGGCGGCUUACUGGACCGUAACUGACGUUGAGGCUCGAAAGCGUGGGGAGCAAACAGGAUUAGAUACCCGAGUAGUC